rnacentral:lncRNA from 1 species
AAAGUAUGCAUGAUAAGGAAUAUAAAUGGCUUGUCCUGAGAAAUGAGUGCUAUGGCUGCCUGGACUAUAAGCCCUAGAAGUAAAAACCUAUGGAAAGCUACACCACUACACCGAGCGGCAACAAGAGCAAGCAAAAUCCACUUAAGGUUUUAGUAUCUGUGAUUACUUUGUGUGUUCUCUACCUCCAGCGAUUUGUGUGACCAAAGGGGCAUCACCGGCCUCCUGGUUUCUGGGCAGAUAAAAAGUGGAAAACCCGGAAGGUUUUCACACUUCUGGCUUCCCGGAAACACGGGAGGAAAUCAAGGGCAGCACUCGCCCGAGCAUGGCUCUGCAUUAGACUGACGACCUUGGACUGAAACUGCCCUGUGUCCAAACAAGGGCGAAGACAUGAUCAGCCCUCUGGUUAUUUUCACCCAUGUGAAGAGGCACUUGGCAUCUUGGAUUCACACCAGCCCUGGCCAUGGGAAGAAGCCGUGUGUUGAUUGAAGCAGUCUGAGACCGGUGAUUUGGAGAAGUAGAAAAACAAACUAGGUGCCCUGACCAGACCCACCCGUAGCUCCAUAUGCUGUUUUCCUGCCACUCAGCGUCUGAUGGAUGAGAGAAGGUGGCUCCUGAGGAGAGGAAGGUGGGGGGGGGGGGGGGACGGGGACUGCAGGUGCUCCAAAUUAGGAAUAAUUCUGCAGAUUAGCCUAAUGAAGUCAAAAAGUUAAUUUGUAGCUGCCAGCUGUUGAGCAGUAAGUUACAAAGUGCCACAGCCCCUCUACAGCUCAGCGCAGGGAAUGCAAAAAGGCAAAGGGAGUAACUGAGAGGACUUGGAAGAAACACCUGCUAAGGCGUCAUCUGGGAGGAGCUCCGCAGUCGCCAGGUGGCCUCAUGGACAAAGAGAUCAUAGAAAUAAUGACUGUUGGUGACCUGGGCUUGUGUAGGGGUGGGGGGUGGGGUGCGGGGUGGGGUGCGGGGCACUGCUGUCCUUGCUUAGAGCACCGGAACUGAUUCCUAGCUUAGAAAACAGUUGUCAAUUGGUGUGAAGCUUGUAGAUUCCUUUAGCACAAGGAUAGCAGGGUUCAGAAUAAUAGUUCUCCCCUCUCCCCUGACAAUUUACACUUGGUACACUCACUCUCCGUCAUCCCUGUUCCUCCUCCCAAUCUGUAAAUUUAACUAGCUCAUCUGGGAAGAGAUAAAAGCAAAUUGUGGUUUGCCACACUGGAAGGAGAUUACCUUCCUCCCCAGCACAGUGGUGGGUCCUGGGUACUGUGAGCUCUUAGGGGCAGCGUGGUUGCUCAUCUCUGUGUAAGUCUUACUGAAGGCCAUUCUGCACGCGGCUGUUAUGUAUCUAGCUUUUUACUCUUAAAAAAAAAAAAGGCUGGAAGAAUGAGAAGACAGCAAGCUGCACUGUGCUUCAGGACGCGCACAAGAGAAACUACAGGAUGUAACCGCUCUUUCCUUGGGAAGGGUCGCUAUAAACCCACAGAUAAUGCGGACACUGCAUUCAAUAGACCUCGACGAUGCAGCUUGCGUUCAUGGGGCCUGCUCGUGUCUGUCCUUCCAAACAUUCAGACAGUUUCAAGUGCGGGGAAAUAAAACCAAAACCCAUAGAUCUAAAUAAAUAUCUACUGAAUGAAUUAAAA